UACGAAGGUGGCUAGCGUUGCUCGGAAUCACUGGGCGUAAAGCGCACGUAGGCGGCUUUUUAAGUCAGAGGUGAAAUCCUGGAGCUCAACUCCAGAACUGCCUUUGAUACUGGAGAGCUUGAGUCCGGGAGAGGUGAGUGGAACUGCGAGUGUAGAGGUGAAAUUCGUAGAUAUUCGCAAGAACACCAGUGGCGAAGGCGGCUCACUGGCCCGGUACUGACGCUGAGGUGCGAAAGCGUGGGGAGCAAACAGG
rnacentral:rRNA from 1 species